GCUUUGGUGUAGCCAUGGAUCUAACGUAGGAGUUGUACUGUCAUUAAAAGCAUAGAAUACAGGUCACACCGUAAUUCCUCACCUAUCGCCCCACAAGAGAAGUUUGUCUCCAACACAACACGUUCAAAAGAAAAUUUUCAGUCGCAGAAAAUAGAAACUUCUUUGGAAGCCUGGAGGCUAAUAACACGCAGAAUUAAAUCGAAGAAGAAAACACCAACACAAUACAAAAAUCGUUUUACUGCUUGGGAUCGUAAAGUAUUACCGGGGGGAGUCUUUCUCAAAAAAUUGAUGUAAGCAUGAAAUUCGAGUGCAUCGUAAUAAAUGAUUUUAAUACUAA